GUGCGGGAGAAUCUAUUUAUUGGCAAUAUUGGGGAUGCUGCAGAUGUUCUCCAGCAUGGUAGUGGUGAAAUUACACAUAUAUUAUCAGUUCUCAGCUCCACGUCAAUUUCAUUUUUCUCAGAAUGGCGAAGGGAGAUUCUGAUCCCUACAGAAGAGAUUCGUAAGGUGUAUGUUGGGGGUUCGGGAACAGAGGAUGAUUCAGGUGAUGGGUCCAAGAGUUCUCUGGCACCAGAAAAGGUGCUAUAUUCCUUAGAGAAAGCAGGGAAGGAUGGCUGUACCAUUGAGAGAUACAGAGAGUGAGGAUCUAUUGGAUUACUUGGAUGUUUGUUUAGAUUUUAUUGACCGAAGUAGACAAGAAGGGUCUGUAUUGGUUCACUGCUUUGCUGGUGUAUCAAGAAGUGCAGCUAUUAUUACAGCAUAUCUGAUGAGGACCGAAGAGCUAUCCCACGAAGAUGGGUUUGCAUUUCUGUCGAUGCACUUGAAUCACUAAGGCAAAGCUGUGAAUUUGUCUGCCCAAAUGAUGGCUUCCUGGAUCAGCUCAAAAUGUUUGAAGAAAUGGGUUUCAGAGUUGAUUACGCUAGCCCUAUAUACAAGCGUUUCCACUUGAAAGUACUAGGUAGAGUACUCCAUUGAUAUCCUAUUAUGUUUCUUGGUUCUUGAACUGCAUGAUUUGCUAAUAGUUUUUUUGUGUUGAUGUCUAGCGUGUUACCUGUUACUCAUUUUCCAUUAUGGGAGUUAUAGAUUGUGUACUGGAUCUGUGUGUUUCAAGUUAGCAAACAUUGUUACACCUUACUUGGUUGUUUUGAGAAAAAAUUGCAUAACAUGUACGUGAAAAAUGGCAUCCACAGCUUGUGCCUAAUGAUUUCAGUAAGUUCAUUUUAUAUGCUUUUGCAACAAACUGUUUUCUACAAAUUUUGUUGAUGCAUGAUCUGAUUUUGCACUAAUCACUUGAGAUACUAGGAUUUCUUAUGUGUCACAUCAUUAUUAUUUACAAUUUUAAGAUUCGUUUUAUGCUAAUCUGUCCCUCUCUCCCCUUCACGAAUAUACUUGUGAUUUAAUUGCAGAUGCAUUGUUCACACCAUACGUUACUUCAGUUUUGAACAGUAGCUGCUGAAUAUACUUUAACAGUUCAAAUGGUCUAUUAGUAACCUUGCCAAUGUUGCACUGAGUUACUGCUAGUUUCCAUUUUCUG